AACCAACCUCCCACCAUCACCACCACCACCAGAGCCAAAAUAAGACCAUGUCCGUGGUUGUUUUGAUGUGACUCACACGGCUGUCACAAAAGAUAUUGCAACGCAUCUUCUCCAAAACUGUGCAGUAGACUAACCCAUGUACGACAGCAUUUGGACCCUUCUGCCUCAAGUAUCUGUGUGACAAUUUCACAAGAAACAACCCAGUUACAGGUAAUUA